rfam:Zea mays cultivar B73 chromosome 4, whole genome shotgun sequence.
AUACCUUUCUUGGGCUUUUGGCUAAGAUAAAGUGUUGUAUCUACAGUUUAGUAUCUGGUAUGUGGGUCAUAUAUUCACUUCAAUUUUAAAUUUAUUUUCUAGGGAGGGUCUAUCACACUAACUUGCCACUAGACCUUCAGGUGUCGGACAACUGUUGCACUAUAUCUUCAAAAUGGAUUGGUAUAUUGUCA